CCCGCCGGCCCUGUAGGACCCAGGGGGAUCCACAGCCCAGUUCCCAUUGAUGAUGGACCGGCCCCCAGGGCCACGAAGUGCUGCGGGUCAGAGACUCCACAGCCAUCAGGACGCCUGCCAGAGCCAAGGAUCCCAUCACAGCCGGGGCUCUGGAGAGAGUGAGGUGAGGCAGUGGCCACAGAACGCCAGACACCACCUCAACCCCACCCCGGUCCCCUCGGGAGCCUCAGCUCACUACCCUGCUUUUUGUGCCACAAGUGAGAGCACAAAAACAGCCCCACCAUCCCCAGCCAGACCCAGGGACAUGGACAGGUGCCCGAUCAGAUCCUUCAGGCUCUGCUCAGCGCAGCUUGGCAGUAAGGUUUUACACUCGGGACUCAGCGAAAGGACAGCGUGCUGACUUCUGAGUCAGACUGAUCUGGAUUUGAACCUCAGCUCCAGCUCUUGCCAGCUAUGUGGUCUUCGACGAAUACUUCCACCCCUGUGUGGUGCAGUUUGCUCAUCUGCAAAAUGGGACUAAUCUAAUAUAUAUGAUGGGCUUGGA
rnacentral:lncRNA from 1 species